ensembl:lncRNA
AUGGAUGACCUGCCUUUGUGCCAUUACACUGCCGACAGCCUCUCUGCUCCUCCUGCAUUAACUGUGCCCAUGCUGCAUGAUGGCGGGUCUAUGGAAGCAGCUGCUCAGAAAGGAAGACGGAUGGAUUCAGAGGAGUGGAGUCAGUGGCAGAGUGAGUUCAGAGGGCAGAUCAGGGCUCUGCGACACUGGCUGAAGACCAUGGAGAAGAGACUCCCUCCACCGGAUCCUGCUGUGAGUCUCUCAUACACUCCAGCCCAAACAUCUGAGGACACUUCUCAAACUGCUAUCAAAUUUAUUUAUUUAUUUAAAAAACAUUUAUUUGUUCUUAUUUGAGAAUGUCCCCAGUAAACAUCACAUGCUUGAGUCACACAAUCAAAGUCACCCAUUUACUUACAUUUAAUUAGUAACCAAUAAAUAAUAAUAAAAAAACUAAAAUAGUUCUUAU